GGAAGCGUUUCGUCACCGGUGUGACGCCUGGACUUCAAAUCCAGUGGGACGUCGCGAGGCGUCCGGUAGGUUCGACUCCUAUACGCUUCCGCCA
rnacentral:tRNA from 1 species